GCCGCGUCUCCCAUCAGCCUGGGCUCCUGCUGCUCAGAAGCUGAGCAGUCCCGCGGGAAACAGGAGGCCUAGCACUUGGAAAUACCAAACCUGCGUCGGAGCAGUGGACAGAUUGAUAGCUCCAACUGUGGUUGGUAAUGCAUAUCCAUUCUUGGUACUAAGGCUGUGGGACAUCACAUCAUGGACAAGGUGCUGAUGUUACAGUGAACAAUGUACUCAACAACACCCUUGAAGAGAAUUGUGGAAGGAUGCCUGCCUUUACAACCCUGCACCAUGUUCUGAGAACGUCUGCGGAUUGACCCCAUGGAGAUGCCCAUGUGGAGAGGAGCUGAGACCCCCAGGUGACAGCCAGCACCAACCCCAGAUAUGUGCAUGAGGGAGCUUGCAAGUGAUGCCAGCAUCAGUCUCAAGUCUCCCAGCUGAGGACUCAGACGUAAUGGAUCAAGGGCAGGUUUUCCCCAGGAAUUCACUGUGCUGUUAAUUGCGGUGACUUCCCAGACACAGUCUGAUCACGACUGUUGCCCCUUCUGAACACUCCUGGAGAAGUGAAAACUAUCCCCAUAGGACCCUGGGCUAACUAACACCCACUGACUUUCAGGUUUCAGGCCACCACUUAAGAGGAAGAGUGUGCUGGGGCCUGAAGCCCACCGCAUCUGGAGGAAACCCUCAUGCCAAGCGCCAAGCCACCAGUCUAACAAGA